UACGUAGGGUGCGAGCGUUGUCCGGAAUUACUGGGCGUAAAGGGCGCGUAGGCGGCCACCGCAAGUCGGUUGUGAAAUCUCCGGGCUUAACCCGGAAAGGUCAAUCGAUACUGCGGGGCUAGAGUGCAGAAGGGGCAACUGGAAUUCUCGGUGUAGCGGUGAAAUGCGUAGAUAUCGAGAGGAACACCUGCGGCGAAGGCGGGUUGCUGGGCUGACACUGACGCUGAAGCGCGAAAGCUAGGGGAGCGAACGGG
rnacentral:rRNA from 1 species